UACGUAGGGUGCGAGCGUUAAUCGGAAUUACUGGGCGUAAAGCGUGCGCAGGCGGGCUUUUAAGCCAGACGUGAAAUCCCCGGGCUUAACCUGGGAAUGGCGUUUGGGACUGGGAGUCUGGAGUGCGGCAGAGGAGACUGGAAUUCCUGGUGUAGCAGUGAAAUGCGUAGAUAUCAGGAGGGACACCGAUGGCGAAGGCAGGUCUCUGGGCUGACACUGACGCUCAUGCACGAAAGCGUGGGGAGCAAACAGG
rnacentral:rRNA from 1 species